AUGCCUUACACAUGCAAGUCGAACGGUAACAGGUUAAGCUGACGAGUGGCGAACGGGUGAGUAAUAUAUCGGAACGUGCCCAGUAGUGGGGGAUAGCCCGGCGAAAGCCGGAUUAAUACCGCAUACGACCUACGGGUGAAAGGGGGGGAUCGCAAGACCUCUCGCUAUUGGAGCGGCCGAUAUCAGAUUAGCUUGUUGGUGGGGUAAAAGCCCACCAAGGCGACGAUCUGUAGCUGGUCUGAGAGGACGACCAGCCACACUGGGACUGAGACACGGCCCAGACUCCUACGGGAGGCAGCAGUGGGGAAUUUUGGACAAUGGACGCAAGUCUGAUCCAGCCAUGCCGCGUGCGGGAAGAAGGCCUUCGGGUUGUAAACCGCUUUUGUCAGGGAAGAAAAGUUUUGGGCUAAUAACCUGAGGCGAUGACGGUACCUGAAGAAUAAGCACCGGCUAACUACGUGCCAUCAGCCGCGGUAAUACG
rnacentral:rRNA from 1 species